UACCUGAUUGAUUCUGUCAGCGCGAUAUGCUCAAGUAAAAGAUUAAGCCAUGCAUGCUUUGAUUCAUAAAUGAAAUUGCGUACGGCUCAUUAGAGCAGAUAUCACCUUUCUCGGAAUCCUGAAAAGGAUAACUGCGGAAAUUCUGGAGCUAAUACAUGCCAACUAUACUCCAACGCAAGGCGGGGUGCAAUUAUUAGAACAGACCAAACGUUUUCGGACGUUGUUUGUUGACUCUGAAUACCGUCGUUUACUGUCAGUUUCGACUGACUCUAUCCGAGAAGGGUGUCUGCCCUUUCAACUAGAUGGUAAUCUAUUGGACUACCAUGGUUGUUACGGGUAACGGAGAAUUAGGGUUCGACUCCGGAGAGGGAGCCUUAGAAACGGCUACCACGUCCAAGGAAGGCAGCAGGCGCGAAACUUAUCCACUGUUGAGUAUGAGAUAGUGACUAAAAAUAUAAAGACUCAUCCUUUUGGAUGAGUUAUUUCAAUGAGUUGAAUAUAAAUUAUUCUUCGAGUA
rnacentral:ncRNA from 1 species